rnacentral:tRNA from 1 species
GCUUAGAUAUUUUAAAUAAAAUUUUGAUUUGUGGAAUCAUAAAUAUGGGUAUAAUCUCAUUCUAGGUC